UCCGUUUCUAAUCUUAAAAAAAAUAAAAAAGGUGAAAGGAUGUGACUUUAAAACAUCAAGAGGUUCAAUUUCAUUCUCUGAAUUCUAUUUUUUUUUCCUUCUUUUAUCUUCAAUCCUUAUAUGAUGGUUGCUGUUGAAAGGUAGAGACAAAGUCAUGUUUUGUUUUUUAUUUUUGAAAUUUAGGCGUUAAUUAUGAUUUACAUGUGGGUAUUAUGGUUCAAUUGGUUAUGAUUUAGAUUUUUUGGUUAGGAAUAGUUUUGUUUUGCGUAUUUUGGAUGAGAAUCGAUUUUGCAUAUUAGGGUUGUUUUGAUUUUGGAUUUCACCUUUUAAUUCAAAGAAAGAUGAAGUUUUGUUCUGCACACCUCAUGCACAGUCAAUUAUGAAUGUAUUUUAGCAUCAUUUAUUAUCAUGUUUGUGAGUUUUGCUUUGUUAAUUUGCAAAAUCUGUUUAUAUAACUCACAAAGAUGGCUAAACACGAACGAAGGAACUAGCGUGGAAUGGUAUGCAAGUGAGACACACAUAUGUCGAGGUAUAAAAAAAUGUGUGUUUAAGAUAGAGAUGAUACACUUAUAAUGUAAUUUGUCACGAUUUUGUAAACUUCUGGGCUCUUUUGGAAGUGGAAGAAGAAAAAAAACUGUAAUCUAAAUAAUUCUAUAAUUUUUUCCUUUUACUCAAUAUUAUAUUAGUUGCUGAUAAACACAAAAUUUAGUUGUUUUUAAUCUAGAACUCUGAAUUUUAUGGGUUUCAAAAUUCUGUAAUCAAAUAUGUUUUUUAAAAUUUAUUCAUUGUUAAAUGUUCUAUGCUCUCAUUCCUUUGUUCAUUGUGGUUCAUAGGAAUGGUAGAUGAGAAUAUCACAUUUUUCAGGUAAGUUUUAGAUCUGGUAUGAUUCAAGUUUAUAAUUUUUUUGUGAAGUUUCUAUUUUUAUUUUUUAAUCUAUGUUAGUUUUUUCCUGUGCACCAAUUUAGCAUAUGGGACCCUUUCUGAAAAUGGUCUUGAUUUUGGAUGCCAUAAUAAUUGCUAAUUUGCAACUGUCAAGACUUGAUUUAUGCAAAUUACUAAAUUUUUCCUGUUGAGAGAUUUCUUGAAUAUGAAAGUCAAUAGACCCAAGUUUAGAACAAGGCUGUCAAUGAUUGAAUAUAAUAUAGUAUUCUCUUCAGCAUUUUUAGUUGUUGACAGACCACGUCAGAAUCCAUGGGCACAGAUAUUGCAAUUCCUGUAGAACUGUAGCCAACUAUAACAUCUAUGUGGUCAUCAAUCAUACACUCUCUCUAUAUUGAACUGGUUUUCUCUAUACACAAAGUUUUUAAAUUGAAGACCAAAAAUUUGUCACCAUAAGAAAGCUAAGUUAGAAUUACUUAUUAGUGCUAUAGCUUACCCCUUUUUUUUCCAGCGGUGUCUCCAUAGGUGAUUCAUACAUUUAGAACCAAUAAUAAACAAGCAAAUUAGGUAGAUGAUGAAGAUGAUAAAAUGUUUCUUCCUUCAUGUUUAUGCAAUUGAAUAUGAGGCUUGAAUUGUUAUAUAUAGUACUAAUAAAUUACCUCAUAUCCCAUAAGUUGAUAAAUACUACAAAUUUCUCUAAGAUGCAUUCAGAGGAACAAUUAUUUCAAGACAGGUAAUGAGAUUCCAUUGUUGAGGAAUCUUAAUUCACCACAGAUGCAGGAAUCUUAAUUCACCACAGAUGCUCAACUUAGGACCCAAUAUGUUAGGAAUUCUCAACAAAGGGAACUUACAAAUCAAAACUAUACCAACUUUAUCAGUAUGAUUAUUAACUUUUUCAAGAAACUCAUUGUACCUAUCCUUGCAUGCAAACAGAUAUGAUAGGCUGCAUUAUUAAGAUCUGAUGGAUAAAUUCGACUUAGGCAAUAGAACUUCAAGGUCGUAUAACCUUGUGGUGGUGUAAGUAUGGUUAGUUAGUUGCUUCAUAUCAUUGUUAGUCGAAUCAAUUUUAGCUCUGAGCAUCACAAGAAGCUUUAAUUAACAUUGUUAGGCUAUUAAUAUGUGUAGGGUAAUUCACAGGGCCUAACUGUGUUCAGAGAAAAGGCUAUGCAGUUCCUUCUGUAGUAUCUAGCACCUGAGGAAAGUUCUGGUAUGCAGCAUUUAUCUGAAUUCAUCCUAUCAAAUCUUGGUGGAACAUAUGCUUGGACAGGGGAAACAUAUACCAUAGCAUGGUUGGUUGAAAAGGCCGGUUUAACCUCUCCAUAUCAUCAGAAUAUGAUAAGAAAUUUUAACUGGUUGGAUAAAAGCCUACAGGAUACUUCCACAGACACUUGGUGCAGCAAGGUUGCUAGAGGCAUCAUUAAUAUUGGGAAUCCUAUCUUCCAUGCGUCAGCGAAGGGAUGAAAGAGCAAAAUAAGAAAGGUGUCUUAGGCUUGUCUAACGAAAGUGCCCAAAUAGUAUAAGAUAUUCUGCUUGUGAGAUCUUACUGAAUGAAACUGAGCAAUUUUUGCAUCCUGGAUCAGUGCUUGAAGACAGGCUUCUAGCAUGUCUUUGCAGCUAUAAGUAUGCUUCCGGCAAAGCUAAUGCCUUUAACAUAAACAUCUCUAUGUAAUAACCAUUUUGCAGUAUCACAAAGCACAAAAGAUUUAAGAUUCAUCUCUACUAUAUAUGCAAAUGAUCAUUGACAUGAA